rnacentral:rRNA from 1 species
AUUGAACGCUGGCGGCAUGCCUUACACAUGCAAGUCGAACGGUAACAGGUCUUCGGAUGCUGACGAGUGGCGAACGGGUGAGUAAUACAUCGGAACGUGCCCAAUCGUGGGGGAUAACGCAGCGAAAGCUGUGCUAAUACCGCAUACGACCUGAGGGUGAAAGUGGGGGACCGCAAGGCCUCAUGCUAUAGGAGCGGCCGAUGUCUGAUUAGCUAGUUGGUGGGGUAAAGGCCUACCAAGGCGACGAUCAGUAGCUGGUCUGAGAGGACGAUCAGCCACACUGGGACUGAGACACGGCCCAGACUCCUACGGGAGGCAGCAGUGGGGAAUUUUGGACAAUGGGCGAAAGCCUGAUCCAGCAAUGCCGCGUGUGUGAAGAAGGCCUUCGGGUUGUAAAGCACUUUUGUACGGAGCGAAAAGGUCUCUUCUAAUACAGGAGGCCCAUGACGGUACCGUAAGAAUAAGCACCGGCUAACUACGUGCCAGCAGCCGCGGUAA